CACGGCUAACGACCUCCACCUGCCCGGGUUUGUAUAGAGUUUGCUCUCCUAGGUGAAUUGCCUCCCACGGCUAACGACCUCCACCUGCCCGGGUUUGUAUAGAGUUUGCUCUCCUAGGUGAAUUGCCUCCCACGGCUAACGACCUCCACCUGCCCGGGUUUGUAUAGAGUUUGCUCUCCUAGGUGAAUUGCCUCCCACGGCUAACGAGCCUCACCUGCCCGGGUUUGUAUAGAGUUUGCUCUCCUAGGCAGAUUGCCUACCACGGCUAACGACCUCUACCUGCCCGGGUUUGUAGCCGGAAGAUCUCCGGCACCUCCAUCGGGGCCCCGAGGGACGCCGAGGAGCCCUGCCUGGAGCCCUCCAUUCCUGCCAUGCUCGCCAGGGAGACCUUGGGCUCGCUGGCGCUCCACACCCCCGCCGAGGCGAGGAUGCAAGAACUCGCUUCUUAAAACUACCAGACUGGAUUAUAAAAUUAAUCAUAAUUACUGUGAAGGCGCCGGUCACCGCGUUUAUCGGUUCAGGGAUGGAAGACCGACGGGCCUGGGAAACGCGCACAAGCAUCCAAAGGAAUCCUCGCGACGGCUUGCGACGCAGCAUCCGUUUCCCUUUUCUUUCUCAUUCCAAUUUUUCUUUUUUAUUAUAUUUUCCUUCUCUGA